UGGAAAGUGUUUUGUGAAAUCCCCCGGCUUAACCGGGGAAUUGCUUGACAAACUUCUAUUCUUGAGGCAGGUAGGGGUGUGUGGAACUCUUGGUGGAGCGGUGGAAUGCGUAGAUAUCAAGAGGAACGCCAAUGGUGAAGACAGCACACUGGGCCUGUCCUGACGCUGAGGUGCGAAAGCGUGGGGAGCAAACGGGAUUAGAUACCCCGGUAGUCCACGCCGUAAACGAUGUCUACUAGGUUGUGGGAGUUCUGACACUCUCGCAGCCGAAGCAAAAGUGUUUAGUAGACCGCCUGGGGAGUACGGUCGCAAGGCUAAAACUCAAAGGAAUUGACGGGGGCUCACACAAGCGGUGGAGCAUGUGGAUUAAUUCGAAGCAACGCGCAGAACCUUACCUGGGUUUGACAUGCUUGGAUGCCUGCCCCGAAAGGGGUUAGGCUGCCUUUUAGGUGAAACUUGCACAGGUGCUGCAUGGCUGUCGUCAGCUCGUGUCGUGAGAUGUCGGGUUAAGUCCUUUAACGAGCGAAACCCUUACCGUUAGUUGCCAGCGGGUCAUGCCGGGGACUCUAGCGGGACUGCCGAUGUCAAACCGGAGGAAGGUGGGGAUGACGUCAAGUCCUCAUGGCCUUUAUGCCCAGGGCCUCACACGUGCUACAAUGGGAGCUACAGAGCGAAGCGAGACCGCAAGGUGGAGCGAAUCGCAAAAAAACUCCCUCAGUUCGGAUUGCAGGCUGCCAAUUCGCCUGCAUGAAGUUGGAAUCGCUAG
rnacentral:rRNA from 1 species